UGGGGAAUAUUGCACAAUGGGCGAAAGCCUGAUGCAGCAACGCCGCGUGAGUGAUGAAGGUCUUCGGAUUGUAAAGCUCUGUCUUUUGGGACGAUAAUGACGGUACCAAAGGAGGAAGCCACGGCUAACUACGUGCCAGCAGCCGCGGUAAUACGUAGGUGGCGAGCGUUGUCCGGAUUUACUGGGCGUAAAGGGUGCGUAGGCGGAUGUUUAAGUGAGAUGUGAAAUACCCGGGCUUAACUUGGGUGCUGCAUUUCAAACUGGAUAUCUAGAGUGCAGGAGAGGAGAAUGGAAUUCCUAGUGUAGCGGUGAAAUGCGUAGAGAUUAGGAAGAACACCAGUGGCGAAGGCGACUCUCUGGACUGUAACUGACGCUGAGGCACGAAAGCGUGGGUAGCAAACAGGAUUAGAUACCCUGGUAGUCCACGCCGUAAACGAUGAGUACUAGGUGUAGGAGGUAUCGACCCCUUCUGUGCCGCAGUAAACACAUUAAGUACUCCGCCUGGGAAGUACGAUCGCAAGAUUAAAACUCUAAAGUGAAUUGAC
rnacentral:rRNA from 1 species